GAGUUGCGCGAGGUUCAGUGUGCAGCCGAUAAAAUUGGCGAUCACAUUUCGCAACUUUUUGCAUCACUUCUUCUACCUGGAAUAUUCAUUCUCGCAGAAAAUUAUAAUUGAGCAAUCACAAUUACUAAUUUACAAUUUGUCAACCGGAAAUCUAAUUUGAUCAAGUUUUAACCUGUUCCGAAGCCGAAGAAGUCUCCAAGAUGCCGGAAAUGACGAAAUGCGAAGGGGCCGUGAAUAAGGAACAAAAACCCUGCUCUGAUAAGUCCAAGUGCACAAAAGCUGACUCUGCCACACCCCCAGCUCCCACCGAACAGAAGAAAUUAAAGCCUUGUUGUGCUUGUCCAGAGACGAAAAAACCUCGCGAUCAGUGCAUCGUGGAACAUGGGGAAGAAAACUGUACCGAACUGAUUGAAGCACAUAAACAAUGCAUGAGAAAAAUGGGAUUCAACAUCUAAAAUCCAGCUACGAUAAGAUGGAACUAGUAAAAAAAAUUGUAUUACAUAAUUCAGUCGUCCUCUAGUCAGGGCCACUCCGAUAAGGACGACAUGAUAAGCAUUUAAUUGAUAACCCAACACUUCUUGUGCCGUCAAUCUGUCUUUACUUAAAAGAAACAGCGGAUCUCUCCACAUCAGAAAUGUGACUAAUUCGUUAAAUAUUAAUUGUUGAAGAGAUGAUUUAACUGAAUAAAUCACAAUUCUACACAA